AUCUAUAUGUUCUAUAUGGGUGGACCCCAUUGCAAAGAGUUAUCUACUGUAUCUGAUACAGUCCAAAACUGCAAGGCCUGAAUGUGAGCUGUCUUCAUGUCUUGUUGUGCAUUUUCAUUGUCACAUAUGCAAAACAAAGCGAGAAAUGCAAAGCGAGAGGAAAAUGAAACCUGUGCAAGUUGUGGUCACAAGAACUUAAAAGUUCUCACAGUAACAGGAGGAUGUUCAUUUUAUGUCACACAAAACCAAACUGGGCAGCUGAGAAAGAGCGCUUUUUUUUCAAGUAAUCUUUCUGUUUGGAAUAGAUUUUAUGAGAGAGAAAAAUACAUAAGACAAAGCGAGAGGAAAAUGAAACCUGUGCAAGUUGUGGUCACAAGAACUUAAAAGUUCACUCACAGCAACAAGAGGAUGUUCAUUUUACGUCACACAAAACCAAACUCAGCAGCUGAGAAAGAGCGCUUCUUUUUUAAGCAAGCUUUCUGUUUGGAACUGAUUUUAUGAGAGAGAAAAAUACGUAAGAAUUAAAUAUGUCAGCGAUGGAGAAUUUCCUCUCUACACUGAGGAGUGCAUUUGAAAAGAGCCCUCUUGUGUCAAAUAUGGCUUUUAGUUUCAUCCUUGUUGCCUUGGAGAAGCUCCUGGAGAUGGAGUUUUCAUGUCCCUGUUCUUCCAUUUGGAAUAUUCUACAUGUGAUUUUAUUUUUCAUUGUUCCUGCAUUCACCGUCUUAGUGCUGAUGAUAAACAUUCAGGGAUGCAAGAGUAAGGAGUCUCAUAGAAACAUUCAGGGAUAUGAUAGUAAGGAGUCUUUGAUAAUAUGUGUGCUUUCCAACUCUGUUCCUUCCCUUGUGUGGAUCAUCCUUCUGCUUUUUGAUGGCCAGUACACUGCCUGUGCAUUCUCAUCCCAGUCAGGCUUGUUUGUGACUGACGGUGCUUCUCAUUACAAAUUAUGCACACCAUACAACCACAACUCAUCACAGGAGAUAAUCCAUGCCCAGACAUGUUAUACUGCGUCUCAGGAUGCUGGACUGUGUGUUUUUUUGCUGGUAACCAUAAUAGGAGCAUUCUUAACUUCAUGCAAUGGUCAGGAAAAAAAAGACAUUGAAGUACCCCUUCAAGAUGUGGAAAAUCUGAAUCCAGAAGGUUCUGGGACAGAAAAUCUGGCCAGGGCCUCUGGUGACAAUCCAACAGAAAUUGAAUGAUGGUACAAACAAUAGAAAAUAGACACAACUUCAAAAAUGGACAAGACUGCAUACUUACUACAUACUGUAUAUAAAUCAAUUAUUAAAUGUAGAAGUCUUGGACAAACCUUAAAAUAACUUUUGAUUCAAACAAUUCAAUGGGCUGUCAUGGUAAAAUAAAAAAUAUAUAUGUUGAUCUGCACCAAAAGAAAUGUAUUUGCCAUGCGCUGCCCAAACAAAAUCUGAUUCCAGCUAAUUUAUAGGGUUUACAGGCUACACAAUGUGAAGUGAAUGCAAAGUGGAGAAUGGUGCUUACAAAUAAUAUGUAAACAGUCUGAAAUAAGAGAACUACAUCGCGUGGAUAUUCAUUAAGAACAGAUAUAUUUUGAGCUUUUUAGGAUUCAAAAUGAAGUUUAGCUCUUUAAAUGCACUUAAAAACCACUUUCACAACAAACUAGGAUUCCUAAUUAGAUGUCCUUUGAUGUUCAUGUAUUUUUUUUCGUACUGUUUUUUCAUUUUUCAUUUUCAUAUGUAACAAAUGUUAUGUUGAUGAAAAAAUGUUUGUUCUAUAAACCCUUGUCUUAGUUUGGUUGACAUAGAUUAGUUAAUGUAUUGAACUGAUUAUGUAAUUCUUAAAAAUUGCACAUCUAUUUCAACAUAACUGUUGUGGCUUGUUGUGUAAUGUUUGUCUUGUCUCAGCAUGGUAAUAUAUGUAAGAAUGAUAAGCAGCAUGUAUUAAUUACCUUUUUUUUUUUUUGGCAAUGUAUGAACGUAUUGUGGUGUAACUUCAAAAAUGAGCCUUUAGCCAACUCUCUCAGCGGUCUAUAGCAGCCUGUGGACCAAUUUUUGUGUAAAGGGCUCAUAUUUCCCUCGAAAAUCCAUAGCAUGUGAUAUUAAUAUCAGUGCCAAUGGUGCUUUAUCAAUCCUAUUUCAAAAACAUGUUUGUCAAAGUAUACUCUUGCACAGCCAGAUCUAUUUCCACCUUUCAUUUUAGCACUGUCCCAGUGCUACUAAACAUAAACUAUAACCAGUCUUAGUACAUGUUGUGCUACAUUGUUUUAUUAGUCAGUUGCAAACAUUGAUCUUGUUGUCUAUAUGCAUAUUUUCCAUUGUUUAUUAUGAGAACGGACCUGCUUGUCUGUUACAUUCACUUGUACCAUGCUGAAUGCUGACUGUUCACUUUAUGAGAAUGUGACCUAUGUCAGAGAAACACAGGCUACAGGAAACGUCUCAGCACACAUCCUGCCAGAUACCAACAUGAGGCUGCAGCGAGUGACUUGCAGCAAAACCCAGAGACUUUCUACUGUACAUUCAUCCUGAAGAGCUGCCUCUCAAAAAUCUUUAUAAAGUCUCCAGGAUGGAUGAAAAACAUGAAAAGCAAUGCAUGAAAAUGUACUUUUUUUUUUUUUUUUUUCUCAGAACGGGGUAAAUGUAAUGCAAGAAUGGUGCUGGUGAAUGGUGGUGUUGUAUAGUGUACUGUGUAUAGUGUACGGCAGAGCCCUCAGGCUACAGGAGCAAGCAUUUGUCUUUGGUCUCUCGGGUUUUAAAAGUUAAAAGUACAGUCCUGUUGGCAUGGUGUAGUUAGCAACUCGUUAUAUUCACAAAUGAUGACGUUUUUCAUAUUUCGCUUGCCAUAAAAUGUCAGUUGUAUUGUAUUUCAGUUUCUUUCUUUGAAAACAUUGCUAGAUUAAAGAAAAUAAUG